GCACUGCUGAGGAGUCCCGUAGUAGGACGAAACGGCCGUCCAGUAC
rnacentral:hammerhead_ribozyme from 1 species